rnacentral:lncRNA from 1 species
GCUAGAGCGGCCGUUUUGGGGUGGCCAUUUUGGAUUGGAGGUCCUGGAGAUUUACUGAUGAAAUAAUUAAUGGCUUAAUUAAAUCCUUAGGAUUAUUGAUGGGAUAAUUAAUAGGAAUAAUGGGAUUAUUGAUGGAUUAAUAGGAUUACUAAUGGACUAAUUAUUGGGAGAGUUAAUGAGAUUAUUGAUGAGAUUAAUGGGACUAUUCGUAGCAUUAAUAAGAUUAUUAGCACUAAUAACAAUGAAUUAAUGAGAUUAUCGAUAGACCAAUCUAAUUAUCAAACAAUUUUUGGGUUAUUAAUACAGCAAAAAGGCUCCUAAUAACCUGAUGAGAUUAUUAAUGGAUUAAUUAGAUUAAUGAUGCGAUUAACGAUGAGGUUAAUGAUGGGAUUGAUGGGAUUAAUGAUUAAUGGCAUUAUUAACUCACACGAUUCCUAAUGACUUAAUAAUUAACAAAUGAAUGGUCGGAUUAAUGAUGGAUUGAUGAGAUUAUUGAUAGAUUAAUGAAAUUAUUGAUGGACUAAUGGAGUAAUUAAUAGGAUUAUUGAUGGAUUAAUGCAUUAUUAAUUAAUGGAAUGACUGAUGGGAUUAAUGAGGGAUUGAUGGAAUUAAUGAUGGAUUAAUGGGAUAAUUGAUGGGAUUAAUGAGGGAUUGAUGGGAUUAUUGAUUGAUUAAUGGGAUUAUUGAUGGGAUUAAUGAGGGAUCGAUGGGAUUAUUGGUUGAUUAAUGGGAUGACUGAUGGGAUUAAUGAUGAGCUGAUUGCAUUAUUGAUUGAUUAAUUGGGUGAUUGGUGAGAUUAUUGAUGGAUUGAUGGGAUUAUUGAUUGAUUUACAGGAUUAUUGAUGAACUGAUUGAAUAAUUAAGGGCAUUAUUGAUGGGAUUGAUACAAUUAUUGAUUGAUUAAUGGGUUUAUUGAUGAGAUUAAUGAUGGACUAACGCCAUUAAUGAUUGAUUAAUGGGAUGACUCAUAGGAUUUAUGAGAGAUUGAUAAGAUUAUGGAUUGCUUAAUGGGAUUAUUGAUGAACUGAUGGAAUAAUUAAGGGCAUUNNNNNNNNNNNNNNNNNNNNNNNNUGAUUGAUUAAUGGGUUUAUUGAUGAGAUUAAUGAUGGACUAACGCCAUUAAUGAUUGAUUAAUGGGAUGAAUCAUAGGAUUAAUGAGAGAUUGAUAAGAUUAUGGAUUGCUUAAUGGGAUUAUUGAUGAACUGACGAAAUAAUUAGUGGCAUUAUUGAUCUAAUUAAUGGGUUUACUGCUGUAUCAAUAAGAUUAUUGAUGAAUUAAUGGGAUUAUUGAUGGAUUAAUGCGAUUAUUGAUGGAAUGAUGAGAUUAUUGCUGAGAUAACUGACAAAUCAACGGCAUUCCCGAACAAUUAAUAAGAUAAUCAAUCAAAUAAAGCCUUUCUAA